ACGAACAAAGGUAAGAAAAUUAAUCAAUUUGUCAACAAAGAGAAAUUAAAAAAUCGGUUAUUCAAUUGUUGUUGUUUUCCGUCACCGGUUACCAAUAGUUACCGGUUGACCUGUGAUUCGGAGUGACAACAGUAAUUGUGAUUGUUAAUCAAGUAGAAGUUAAUUUAGAUUGUUCAAUUAAUCAAUUGUUAUUGACAAUUUAAAUUAUUAAUUUAGAUCAGUGAAAGUAGUUGAACCAUAAAUCAAAUUGGACACCAGAACAUGAGAUUAAUCUAAAUUUUUCUUCCUUGAUCAUCAGCAAGAGAUAAUUUCGUUAUUCGUUAUUUAGGAAAUACAUCAACAGGUAACGGACCAUGAAGAGCAACGGGAAAAAAAGCCAAAUCCUGGAUGUAAGAGAUUCACUGGAUUAAAGUGUCUCUUUGGAUUGGUGAUAUUUCAUUUCUACCAUCAUGUCAAUUGUGAAACAAGAAGAUAAUCAAAGUUUGGAACAAUAAUUUAUCAUGUUAAUCAUGAUUCUAUUAUGAUAUCAAAUAGACACCCUGAUGAUAUAAUCUUUCAACAGCUUGGAUAAAGAUGAUUACCAAAAAGAAUUUGGAAAAGUAUCAUCACCAUUAUAACUGUUACAAUCAUCAUCAUCAUCAUCACAAUCAACAUCAUGAAGAUCACCAUCACUUAGAUGGAUCAUAAUGAUAAUCAUCAACAUGAGAAAACAUUUUUUUUCUUCUUCUCUCAAUUGAAUGUGAUUAAAAUGUUAUUUGUUACAAGAUUUAACAGAUGAUGAUAACUUUCACUCUUUGAUGAAGAUAAGAGAAAUGAGGAUUCAAGAGAUUACCUGAAUUUUUUAGCUCAGGUAACAAAAUGUUUUAACGAUAUACAAUUAAAAAUGAUGAUCAUAAUCAUCGUUGGUCUUCAACAUCUAAUCAGCAUAAUCACAAUUAACAUUAUCAUGACUGUCUCUUAAUCAAAGUUAUUCAACAUGAACACUAAACAACAACAACAACAACAUAUCAUCAUGAAUGGAUUAAUAUAUCAAAACUAUUCAGUUAAUAUUCAACAACAGAACAAUUAUCAAUCAACUGGACUCUUACUUGUACAUAUUACAAGUUGGAAACAAGAGAGAGAUGGAGGAAGAGCAAAGAGGAAACAAGGACCGAAUACAAUUAAUAAAUUGCUGUUAUUAUUAAAUAAUGUAUAAUAAUCAUCGUUACGAUUAACAUUAUUAAUGGAUUAACAAGCAAAGUCAAGAUGGACACUCCUAAAAAGCUGAGCUAUUAAAAUCAAGAGAAAAACAGAUAAUUGAAUAGAAUUGGAAUAAAUUUAUUUAUUCAAAUGCAGAGUGAAUAUCAUGUAAAUUUCAUCAUCUCUUUCAAGUGGUCAUCGUAAAUUGAUUAUGGGUCAAGCAAAGAGAGAGAGAGAGAGAGAGAGUGAAAGUAUUAAAGUUUCAAAAGAGGAAAAGGAAACAAUAUAAACUUUUGUCGUGCUUUAUGUUUACGUUUAAUAUUUAGAUCAACAAUUUCCUGUCAACCUUCAUCAUCUAAUUCAACUCACAUGAAUUGAGAAUUUUAAUUAUCAUCAACUCAAUUAAUGACUUUUCAAUCAUGUUAAAAAUUUAAUCAACAACAACUCAUUGAAUGAAAUUAACAUGUAUAACUUAAGCCCCAUCAAAGUUAAACAAAAAAUUUGAUUACUGGUUUUGACUUAAUAAUGAUUAUGCUAAUCAAAUAUUGAUGAAAUUAUUUAUUUUUUUAAAUAAUUUUUUAGCUUAUUUGUUUAUUAAUUCAUUAUAAUUAUCGUCAACUUAAUUAAGGAUAAAAGUGAAAUGAAAAAGGAGAGAAACUGACCAACAACAGGAAUCAAGUUGAAUGACGAUGAAACUGAUUACCUGAAUCCAUCUUCAUCAAUUUUAUUAUUAUUCACUCACUAAUCCAUCAAUUGAUGAUAAAAAUCAAGUAAAUUCAUUAUGAUUAACAAAACAAAGUUAAAUUUAUUAACUAAUCAAGUAAUCAGACAACGAGAAAGAAAAAUAUUAACCACUCCAAACACCAAUCCUUAAAAACGAUGAUGAUCAACAUUUAAAUCAACGGAUGAUCAUGAUAAUCAAAUUGAACAGAUUAAAUUGUGUUUCUGAAUUACGUGAUUUAUUAAAUUAAUUGUAUUAUUAUUAAUACAAUCUAAUUAAUCAAAGGAAAACUAUCCUAUCAUACUUGUUAAAUUGUUGAAAAAUCAACAGGUAACGAUGAAAACUCAAUGAAAAUGUGAACAAAAAAUUCAAAUGUAUUAAAUUGAAA